ensembl:lncRNA
UUUCUUUGGGGCUCACAGUACAUUAUUGGUAAAUAAUUAUAGAGUUUCUAUUUCUUGACUUCCCCUGUGGUUUUUUUUCGAACAUAUCUAAGUGAUCUCUAUUCCAUGUAGACUUUGCAGAAUGGAGAGGAUUGGUUGGAACUACCUGGGCACCCUUGGAUUUGUAUCUUGUGACUAAUCUCUUAUCCAAGAAAGUAAUCAAAAAGUAGGUGUGAUAUCUUUCAUGCUUUUCCCUACCUGGAGUAGGAUGAGUGAAGUACCUGUUUUAAUCUUGCUCUAAAACCAGUUGGGCUCCUAAAAUAAAGCCGUUGAUCCCUGUGUAAAGUGAGACAUAUAAUUGUUUCGAUUAAUAGAAAAUGCAUCAAAUUUCCACUUAAAAGACAAAGAGCUUCUUUCAGAUUAGGCUUAAAAAGGCCUCUUUCUAAAAGACUUAAAAUGACAUAACAAGUUUAAAAAUCAAAUAAUAGGUUAAAAUACAUCAGCUAAAUGAAAAUAGGAAAAAUGAUAUAACAACCCAUAGACUAUAAAUCAGAAAAGCAAUAAAUGAGAAAAAUGGGCUUAUUUUAAAUAAUUUAAGGAAAUAUCCACAGUGAAAACAUUGUGAUUCAGAAAAGCAAGGAAGAGACCAAAACAAUAACUGUUGUUAAGUUUGUCAUAAAAUUUGCCAAGUGUUCAUGAUUAAAGGGAGGAGAGUUGGCUGAACAGAGAGGAAGGCUGCAGCAAAUCACUGCCUGGUUUUUCUUUUGCUCCCAAUGCUGUCACCCCUGACUCUUAUGGCAUAGCUACUGUGGUCCUCACAGAGUCUGAAGGGAGGCUGAAUUCUUGCUAUGUUGGAAUAUGUUUUGCACACAAGCUUCCAUCACCAUUCAGAAGAACACACACUAGCAAUCUAUAAGCUUCUCUUUAUAGGGGCUUUUGGUUCGUUAAACAAGUACAUUAUUUACAAAGCUGCAUUGUCCUCUCGGGGGGAGAAUACCUAGUGUCCUGGAAUUCCCCCUUCCCCACAAAUACCUUUACUUCCAGCUCUCUGGAGUUCUCUUCAUAUUUAUAAAGUGAAACUUUUGGAAAGAAGAUUAAUUGUUUUAGAAACACAAUUAUUUUGGGUCUUUGACAAAUGGUUUAGGGAAAGGCUUGAAGGAUGUAAUUAAUGUGGUUGAAUAAAUAUUUCAAACUAGAAAGAGCACAGUUUACAUUAAGACAAAGCAAUAAAGUAGAAAUUAAAAUGAAGGUUUAAUAAAAAUACUGGAGAUAUAAAAAUAAAACCUCUUUUUCAAAGUUUUUGAAUCAAAAAGGAAGUAACUGUAAUUACUGACAAUUAAGAAAAUGUUGGCAAUGGUGAAAUUGUGUGUCAAAAUGUUGGGAUGGGAUAAAACUAACCUUAACCCACUGUGCAAGGCCAGGGAUUGAACCUGCAUCAUCAUGGAUACUAGUUGGUAGUAUUACAGCUGAGCCACAAGGGGAACUCCCAUAACAAUCUUGACGUGUGUAAUAAUAUUCUACUUUCAAACAUCAGGGACCUGAGUUUCAGUGAGAUUAAGUAAAUGCCUCAAGAUAACUUAGGUAGACAGAGGCAGGGUUGUGGUCUGAAGGAAAUGUUUAUCUGACCCCAUAGGCCAUUAUCCAGCAUCAGUGAUGGAGCUUUGUUCUGCUUGCUGUCAGAAUCAGAUAGAAGGGGAAAAAAAUUACGUUUAUAUUCAGGUCGGCAGCAGGAAGGAGAUUAUUUUAUUCCCUUCAUGUAUCUCCAUUCAGUCCUUCAGUGGAGUGUGUAUUAGAUGCUUGUCUUAUAGAUGAUAAGCUUUUGAAGAUGAAAUAAUGGUAGCUGGGCAAAAAGUGAGCUCUUUCUGUUCUUAUAUACCAUUUGCAAAUAUGAGUCUCUGCUUGAAGAUAAUUCUUUGACUGUUCUUUUUCUGUCCUACCAACUUGUACACCUUGUAUUUGAGAUCUUGUGGUUGCAAGAGUGUUACUAUUGAAAGAGAAAAAAUUAUUUCCUUAUUACAGACAUUCUGGAGCCUUUAAUUUUGUGUAUUACAGGCACCUUGCUGCAAAAAGUGGCAAAGUGAUGGAAUCAAAUGUAUGCAUUACAGUUCCAGGUAAGAAAUAAGCACUCUCAAAUGCAGAAAUAUUAUAUGUAGUUAAUUAUAUUUUCAGUAAAUCUUUCUUCUCUCAGCAUGCACACUUCUCAAAUCCCAUCAUUUUCUUUUCAGAUAAUAAAGAAAUGAACAUAUUUAUGUUAUCGGAUGCUAUUGAAUGUAGCCAAUUUAUGCUUUGAGUUUAGAGUUUUAGUCUACUGAAGUCUACUGAAGUAAAUUUGCAUAUAUUUUGGAAAUACAUUUUUUGUAUUUGAUAUGUUGAUUGGUAUGAUCGAUAUGUACAUAUUAUUGAUAUGUUUUAUUGUCCUCUGGACUGGGUUUGGUGCCUUUUCUCUGCUUCUUCUGGACCCAGGGGAACAUUAUUUGAAAGCAUCCAGCUAGAUAUUACAAAUUUCAAAUUGAUUUAAAAAGGGAUCUUGGUUAUUUUUAGGAUAUUGUUUUUCUAGAACUAUUUGCUGAUGGCAGUUUUCUUCUAAAUUAGCUUAGAAAAUAUUUCUAAACAAGAUUGUGGCCACUGUCUGCCAAUUUGCGCAAACAAACCCAAUGCACUGAAGCUUCUGAUCCUUUUAUUUUUAAGUACAGUUUAUAACAUUGUAGCCAUUAUUGACAUUCUUGAAGAGCUGGAGGAAAGAAUUCCCCAGCACAGUGCCUUUUGCUAAGCUCUUUUCUUUCUUCCAAAUUUUUAGUAGCUUCCCCACUGCUUGUCAAAAAAAAAGGUCACAGUUCAUGUAGCCAAAGGCUAAUUUUUAAGCCACUUUUAUUAUUUCAUAUACCCCUUGCCUCAGCAAAAUUGUACCAUUCACUAUUCAGCUGAUGAGAUGUACUCAUUUUCUAUUUCCUUUGAUCAUGAUCUUGAUUUCCUCUCUCUCUCUCUCUCUGGUGAGAUCCUGCCUUGAUGGCCCCACUUAACUCAUUGUGAAGCUUCCUCUCACUCCCAGCUCUGAAUUCCCAUUCAUGCUUAUGUGUACCUCUGAUCCCAUAGGCCAUGUGUAGACUCUUUGUUAAGUUCUCUUUCUGGCUUCCUGCUGAGCCUGUUACAGCUUGGCAUUGGGCACCCUGAGCACCUGCAUCAAGUGUCUGCAGUUCUCCCACUUCUUUCUUUUUUUCAUUUCCUCCAUCUUCACCUUAUUUGGUUUCUAUUUUCCAUUUACUUAAGUUUUACAUCUUUAAAUGGGGUCUUAUUUUUAUAUAUAUAAUCUAAUUUUCUAAUUUUUAUUUUGAAAUGGCUUCUCCUGGACAAGUCUCUGGCCUUGUGCAUGUCACUUAGACCUUUUGAGACCAGAAGGACCUUGAGACCGAACAAUAACUUGAGACCCAGGUCACUCUCACCUUAAAGCUAGACUGCACUUGGCCCCGCUUUCUAGAGGAGGAGACUUAAACACCUGCAAAAAUAUCCCACCUAACAUUGCAUUAUUUGAGGCGGUUCCCCAAUCCCUUUUAUGGAACCUUGUUAGGAGAACAGAAGUGCCCUUUUCUAACGAAGUCCCAGCUGGAAUGGAGAAUGUUCAGUCUCUUCAGCUUCAAGCAAUCUGUUCCCACUUCUGUUCAUGGUGAAGAAGACUCUAGACUUCCUUCUUUAGCCUUUUCUGCUCUUUUACUGAGGUCUUCUCAUGGAAUUUAGUCCUAGUCUCUUGAGACAUACCAUGCGGCCAAAUCCAUUCUCUACUUUUGGCAGAGACAUCCCUCCUGGGUCCUCUCCAUUUAGCAUUCUCUCCAUUUUCCUCCCUUCCCUGAACCUAGCAAUUCUCAGCCUUUUCAUGUCUUUGUACCCCUCUUGUGUCUGCCUUGUGCUUUUUAUGGAGAUUGUUAGUCUCAUAUCUAUCUCUUUCUGAUAGACAAGGAGUGUAAACUUCAGCUUCUGAGGAUAGAAGGAGACCUAAAGAAGAAGAGUUUCUCCGGAUCAAAAGAGUGCCCUUCUCUACCUUUGCUUUAAACAGCUCCCUUUUUAUAACCUUAGCCAUUUUCAUGUUUCAGCAUGGGAUGGGUUAAGGUGAAAGCCUGACAUGUCAUAACUAUUCUUGCUCUAUUCAUCUUGUUAUUGCCAACUGAUACCCAGCUAGAAGUCUUGCACUUAGAAGGUGCUCAGUUAACGCUAGAUUCAUAGUCUUGUCUACUUUUUAAAAAUUCCCACAUCUUUGAGUUCCCUCUGUGGCCCAGCGAAUUAAGGAUCUGGCAUAGUCUUUGAGGCGGUGCUGGUUCAGUCCCCGACCAAGUGCAGUUGGUUAAGAAUCCCAUGUUGCUGCAGCUGUGGCACAGGUCUCAGCUGAGCCUCAGUUUUGAUCCCUGGUCUGGGAACUUCCAUAUGCUGCUAG